GGCAAGGGCUUGUGCAAUGCUUGGCACAUCAUGGCCUCCUUUUAGGGGGCUGUGGUGUGGAAUCGAUAUCAAGAGAUUUCGGAAGCAAAAUGUUUGUUACAUGGUCUGCUUGUGAUCGUAUUCCGGGCGCACCC